GUGCUAACACAAUGCAAGUCGAGCGUCGAAGGUUUCGGCCUUCGAGACGGCGAACGGGUGCGUAAACGUGGAUAAUCUGCCUUCGGGCCCGGAAUAACCUUCCGAAAGGAGGGCUAAUGCCGGAUGAGCUCACGGGGACCUCGGUCCCUGCGGGAAAAGGUGGCCUCUAUUUAUAAGCUAUCACCUGAAGAUGAGUCCGCGGCCCAUCAGCUAGUUGGCGGGGUAAUGGCCCACCAAGGCAACGACGGGUAGCUGGUCUGAGAGGACGAUCAGCCACACUGGGACUGAGACACGGCCCAGACUCCUACGGGAGGCAGCAGUGGGGAAUCUUGCGCAAUGGGCGAAAGCCUGACGCAGCAACGCCGCGUGAGUGAUGAAGGUCCUUGGAUCGUAAAGCUCUUUCGGCUGGGAAGAAACGCCUCUUGGCUAAUAUCCAGGAGGUUUGACGGUACCAGCAGAAGAAGCACCGGCUAACUCUGUGCCACAGCCGCGGUAAUACAGAGGGUGCGAGCGUUGUUCCGGAAUUAUU
rnacentral:rRNA from 1 species